CACCAUGAAAAGCGGGACCACGUGCUCGACGGUUAUAUCAGAUUCAUCUAUAAAAGAAGGAUAAGGAAACAGCAUUGGUAAGACAUUUUUGAGCCAGAGCUCUGCUAUUCUCGAUACUCUAUUACUGUUCAUCAAUUCUCUCUCUGACUUAAGCAUCGAAGAGUCCCCGCUGGACACAACUUUGAUCUGUGAGGACGUUGUUUUGCAGGUGCUCUUCACCGGCGACAGGCGAUAGGAAGUUGGCCGCAACAGAUUGGCAUGCCAGAUAGGAGAGAAAUCUGCAAUCAAUCAUGCUAAAAAUUAGAGCCCAACAUUUAACC
rnacentral:lncRNA from 1 species